rnacentral:piRNA from 1 species
AAAAUUACAUGGAAUCGUUUA